UACGUAGGGUGCAAGCGUUAAUCGGAAUUACUGGGCGUAAAGCGUGCGCAGGCGGUUUUGUAAGUCAGAUGUGAAAUCCCCCGGGCUUAACCUGGGAACUGCGUUUGAAACUACAAGGCUAGAGUGUGGCAGAGGGGGGGUGGAAUUCCACGUGUAGCAGUGAAAUGCGUAGAUAUGCGGAGGAACACCGAUGGCGAAGGCAAUCCCCUGGGCCUGCACUGACGCUCAUGCACGAAAGCGUGGGGAGCA
rnacentral:rRNA from 1 species